GAUGAACGCUGGCGGCGUGCCUAAUACAUGCAAGUCGAGCGAACGGACGAGAAGCUUGCUUCUCUGAUGUUAGCGGCGGACGGGUGAGUAACACGUGGAUAACCUACCUAUAAGACUGGGAUAACUUCGGGAAACCGUAGCUAAUACCUGAUAAUAUUUUGAACCGCAUGGUUCAAAAGUGAAAGACGGUCUUGCUGUCACUUAUAGAUGGAUCCGCGCUACAUUAGCUAGUUGGUAAGGUAACGGCUUACCAAGGCAACGAUGCAUAGCCGACCUGAGAGGGUGAUCGGCCACACUGGAACUGAGACACGGUCCAGACUCCUACGGGAGGCAGCAGUAGGGAAUCUUACGCAAUGGGCGAAAGCCUGACGGAGCAACGCCGCGUGAGUGAUGAAGGUCUUCGGAUCGUAAAACUCUGUUAUUAGGGAAGAACAUAUGUGUAAGUAACUGUGCACAUCUUGACGGUACCUAAUCAGAAAGCCACGGCUAACUACGUG
rnacentral:rRNA from 1 species